rnacentral:rRNA from 1 species
UGCGUAGGCGGAUUAAUAAGUCAGUGGUGAAAUCUUUCGGCUCAACCGAGAAACUGCCAUUGAUACUGUUAAUCUUGAGUUCGGUUGAGGUAGGCGGAAUGUGUAAUGUAGCGGUGAAAUGCUUAGAUAUUACACAGAACACCAAUUGCGUAGGCAGCUUACUAGACCGUAACUGACGCUGAGGCACGAAAGCGUGGGUAGCGAACAGGAUUAGAUACCCUGGUAGUCC